UCUGCCCACCAGGUGAAUGGGUGACACUUCUGCAGCUACUAGCGGCUGGGUUGAGUUUCUAUUAGCGCAAUAGGUCAGCAGAAGAUGGAAAUUAGAAGGCUGUGGUCAGAGUUGUAUGAAGCUUGAAACACGAAAUCUGUCCCCAGGUGAUAGUUUCUAAGAGUGUGGCUCCCGCAAUCCGGGGGUGGAUCGAUUCCUCCCAGGUUCUCUAAAGCAGUCCCUUCACCCAGCUCUGCUUGCCAAGUAGCUCUGGGACUCCUGUCUCCUACUCCAGCUUUAAUUUAGCAGCUCUGUGCCUGCUGGUACAGCUCUGUACCUUCUGGACUGUGAGCAUUCCCAGAUUGGGGCCACCAUUGUGGACUCGGAGCGAUGCAGCUCUGCCUCCUGUCACCCUGGCUUUGCCCAAGAGGAAGAAGAUAUGACUAGUUUCCUAGUUUCCAGAGCCCAUGGGACUAGAAGACUUUGCGAGCCAGUAAGCAAGGAUCUUGGGAGGCAGAGCUGGGAAGCAGUUUGGACCAGCCUGGUGUAAGUCCUCGAAUGAUGCUGUGACAACAGAGCUCUACCGACGGGUCAGAGGCCAGAAUUAAGGGCUGUCUUCAAAAAGCAACACAUAGGACCAAUUUCAAGUGGACUUUAAUCGUUUUUUGCUGCCCAAAUACUGUACAUGCAGAAGCCAUGUGAAGAAUAUUCUUCUUAAGGGAAUUGGCAAGAACAUUGUAUAAAACAGCCGGCAGUCCCUCCCAGCUGUCCACCUGCCACCCAGGACCAGAGUUUGGAAAGAUGCUGCACAUAGAAAAUUCAGAGCACAGAUAUAAAAGGCUAAUUGCUUCUUAUCUAAACAGUGUGCUUGUCAGUCCCUAACUGCUAUCUCUCUUUUUGCAGGAUGCAUUUGGAAAUUCUAAAAAAAGGGAUUCCUGCCUUCUGUGAGUUUACAUACUAAAGGAGUUGACAGAACUCUCAGGCAUGCUUUCCUUAAGGAAGCAGCCACUGCUUUCUGAGAUGAUGUGUGGUAAAAGAUAUUUUGCAGGGAAGAGUGGUGUUAAAAAGCAAAA